AUGACGAUCGGCUGGAAACCAGGCCUGGCCCUGUUUCAGCACCCCCGCGUGCCAAGCCCUGGGCCGGCGUGCGGGUCCCUGCCCCUGAGAGGAACCUGGAACUUUUGCAGGCUGGGGUGCAGACGUGUACCUAACAGACGAAGAGUGUGGAGGAUUGGAGGACUCAGGGCAGCACGGCACAGUAGAGACGGGGUUCCAUCAUGUUGGCCAGGCCGGUCUCGAACUCCUGACCUCAGGAGAUCCACCCUCCUUGGCCUCCCAAAGUACUGGGAUUACAGGUGUGAGCCACUUCGCCCGGCCACCGUACAGCUGGAACUGCUACCAGACUGGAGACUGAGCUCCUGGAUCGGGCACAUCGUGAAGUCUGCCACCUUUGGAUUGGCAUUAUGAGAGCUAAUAAAUCCCCCUUUGAAACCCCCA
rnacentral:lncRNA from 1 species